GGGCUGGGGAGGAGCCGCGGUCGCAAGCCGCUCGUUUCUGCCACGUCCCUCCCGGGCGAAGGCGAGCCUGGCGGGCAGCGGCCGGGAGCGCCACAGCACGUGCGCGCUGCAUGAAUGUCUGUUUGUUGGUGGUGUGAGCCAGUGUUUUGGACAAAGCAAUGUUUUAGAAACAGAACUAUAGAAAGAGAACCUCCAGCCAAAGGUUUUUAUACAGGAACCAAUCCGACGUGAAAAGAAACGAGGUCGACCAGAAGAAGCAUUUCUUGGUUGCCCCUUUGA